rnacentral:rRNA from 1 species
AUUGAACGCUGGCGGCAUGCCUUACACAUGCAAGUCGAACGGCAGCGCGUCCUUCGGGAUGGCGGCGAGUGGCGAACGGGUGAGUAGAGCAUCGGAACGUGCCCGGUAGUGCGGGAUAGCUCGGCGAAAGCCGGAUUAAUACCGCAUGAGAUCCGAGGAUGAAAGCAGGGGAUCGCAAGACCUUGCGCUACUGGAGCGGCCGAUGUCAGAUUAGGUAGUUGGUGGGGUAAAGGCUCACCAAGCCUGCGAUCUGUAGCUGGUCUGAGAGGAUGAUCAGCCACAUCGGGACUGAGACACGGCCCGAACUCCUACGGGAGGCAGCAGUGGGGAAUUUUGGACAAUGGGCGCAAGCCUGAUCCAGCCAUGCCGCGUGCAGGAUGAAGGCCCUCGGGUUGUAAACUGCUUUUGUACGGAACGAAAGGCCUCCUUCGAAUAAAGGGGGGAGAUGACGGUACCGUAAGAAUAAGCACCGGCUAACUACGUGCCAGCAGCCGCGGUAAUACGUAGGGUGCGAGCGUUAAUCGGAAUUACUGGGCGUAAAGCGUGCGCAGGCGGUUUUGCAAGACAGUGGUGAAAUCCCCGGGCUCAACCUGGGAACUGCCAUUGUGACUGCAAGGCUGGAGUACGGCAGAGGGGGAUGGAAUUCCGCGUGUAGCAGUGAAAUGCGUAGAUAUGCGGAGGAACACCGAUGGCGAAGGCAGUCCCCUGGGCCUGUACUGACGCUCAUGCACGAAAGCGUGGGGAGCAAACAGGAUUAGAUACCCUGGUAGUCCACGCCCUAAACGAUGUCAACUGGUUGUUGGGGAUUUAUUUCUUCAGUAACGAAGCUAACGCGUGAAGUUGACCGCCUGGGGAGUACGGCCGCAAGGUUAAAACUCAAAGGAAUUGACGGGGACCCGCACAAGCGGUGGAUGAUGUGGUUUAAUUCGAUGCAACGCGAAAAACCUUACCCACCUUUGACAUGUAUGGAAUCCUGAAGAGAUUUGGGAGUGCUCGCAAGAGAGCCAUAACACAGGUGCUGCAUGGCUGUCGUCAGCUCGUGUCGUGAGAUGUUGGGUUAAGUCCCGCAACGAGCGCAACCCUUGCCAUCAGUUGCUACGAAAGGGCACUCUGAUGGGACUGCCGGUGACAAACCGGAGGAAGGUGGGGAUGACGUCAAGUCCUCAUGGCCCUUAUAGGUGGGGCUACACACGUCAUACAAUGGCCGGUACAAAGGGCAGCGAAGCCGCGAGGUGAAGCCAAUCCCAUAAAGCCGGUCGUAGUCCGGAUUGCAGGCUGCAACUCGCCUGCAUGAAGUCGGAAUCGCUAGUAAUCGUGGAUCAGCAUGUCACGGUGAAUACGUUCCCGGGUCUUGCACACACCGCC